rfam:Triticum urartu cultivar G1812 contig83802, whole genome shotgun sequence.
CAUGUACUCCCUCCGUCUGGAAAUAUUUAUCAUCAAAAUAAAUAAAAGGGGAUGUAUGUAGAUGUAUUUUAGUUCUAAAUACAUUCCUUUUUAUCAAUUUUGAUGACAAGUAUUUUCGGACGGAAUGAGUUUAAU